GACGAACGCUGGCGGCGUGCUUAACACAUGCAAGUCGAACGGAAAGGCCCCUUUGGGGGUACUCGAGUGGCGAACGGGUGAGUAACACGUGAGUAACCUGCCCUUGACUUCGGGAUAACUUAAGGAAACUGGGGCUAAUACCGGAUAGGAAUCCUUGCUGCAUGGUGGGGGUUGGAAAGCUUCGGCGGUUUUGGAUGGACUCGCGGCUUAUCAGCUUGUUGGUGGGGUAGUGGCUUACCAAGGCUUUGACGGGUAGCCGGGCUGAGAGGGCGACCGGCCACAUUGAAACUGAGAUACCGCCCACACGCCUCCAUGAGACAGCAGGAGAGAAUAUUACACAAUGGGCGGAAGCCUGAUGCAGCAACCCCGCUUGCGGGAUGACGGCCUUCGGGUUGUAAACCUCUUUCAGCAGGGGCGAAUCUUGUUGUAACGGUACCUGCAUAAGAAGCACCGGCUAACUACGUG
rnacentral:rRNA from 1 species